rnacentral:rRNA from 1 species
CAGUCGCCGCGGUAAUACGUAGGUGGCAAGCGUUGUCCGGAAUUAUUGGGCGUAAAGGGCUCGCAGGCGGUUUCUUAAGUCUGAUGUGAAAGCCCCCGGCUCAACCGGGGAGGGUCAUUGGAAACUGGGAAACUUGAGUGCAGAAGAGGAGAGUGGAAUUCCACGUGUAGCGGUGAAAUGCGUAGAGAUGUGGAGGAACACCAGUGGCGAAGGCGACUCUCUGGUCUGUAACUGACGCUGAGGAGCGAAAGCGCGGGGAGCGAACAGGAUUAGAUACCCGGGUAGUCCCUGUCUCUUAUAC